rnacentral:rRNA from 1 species
GCAAGUCGAGCGGGGAUUAACUUUAACACAGAGUAUUCCAGCGAGCCAAGCGUAUUAUGCAAAAACAACCUCUUUAGUAUACGAGCUUUCAAUAAGAAGUUUUUGCAUUACGCGUCCCAAAGUGCCAACAAGGCAUAAGGAUGGCGGGUAAGUUGGAGUAUUGCGUGUUAAAGUUAAUCCUAGCGGCGGACGGGUGAGUAACGCGUGAGCAACCUGCCUUUUACAGGGGGAUAACAGCUGGAAACAGCUGCUAAUACCGCAUAAGACCACACUACCGCAUGGUAGAGGGGUCAAAGGAGCGAUCCGGUAAAAGAUGGACUCGCGUCCCAUUAGCUAGUUGGUGGAGUAAAAGCCUACCAAGGCGACGAUGGGUAGCCGACCUGAGAGGGUGAUCGGCCACACUGGGACUGAGACACGGCCCAGACUCCUACGGGAGGCAGCAGUGGGGAAUAUUGCGCAAUGGGGGGAACCCUGACGCAGCAACGCCGCGUGAGCGAAGAAGGCCUUCGGGUCGUAAAGCUCUGUCAUUAGGGAAGAAAAAAAUGACGGUACCUAAUGAGGAAGCCCCGGCUAACUACGUGCCAGCAGCCGCGGUAAUACGUAGGGGGCAAGCGUUGUCCGGAAUUACUGGGCGUAAAGGGUGCGUAGGCGGCCUGAUAAGUCAGAUGUGAAAUACCAGGGCUCAACCUUGGGGGUGCAUUUGAAACUGUUAGGCUUGAGUGCAGGAGAGGAAAGUGGAAUUCCUAGUGUAGCGGUGAAAUGCGUAGAGAU